AAAGCAGGCUCACGCUCGAAUACAUUAGCAUGGAAUAAUGAAAUAGGACGUUUGAUUCUAUUACGUUGGUUUCUAGGAUCGACGUAAUGAUUAAUAGGGAUAGUUGGGGGCAUUAGUAUUCAACUGUCAGAGGUGAAAUUCUUGGAUUUAUUGAAGACUAACUACUGCGAAAGCAUUCGCCAAGGAUGUUUUCAUUAAUCAAGAACGAAAGUUAGGGGAUCGAAGACGAUCAGAUACCGUCGUAGUCUUAACCAUAAACUAUGCCGACUAGGGAUCGGAUGAUGCUAAUUUUUUAAUGACUCAUUCGGCGCCUUACG
rnacentral:rRNA from 1 species